CGUAGCUCAGCGGCAGAGCAUCCGACUGUUAAUCGGACGGUCACUGGUUCGAAUCCAGUC
rnacentral:tRNA from 1 species